GACAAAUGUGUUUCCCUCUUAGGCCACUGCCACGAGAACAGAGAGAUGUUUUCUUAAACGUAUAUUCUUCUUCUUGGAAACUAACUGUGGCUUUCUCCAGGGCUUUUUUUUUUCCCCCGGAAUAGAACAGAAUAGAAACUCUUCAGGUCUUACAAGUGUCUGGGAGAGACUUUCAAAGUUUUGUAGAUAAUGCUGGAUGUCUCUCAUUUUUAUAGACUUACAAGCUGUAGGCAUAGUAACUGUUCAUCAUACAAAGGAAACAGCAUAAUAGUGUACCUUUCCCUCUUUUCCUUGGCAGCCUCUGGAAGCCAUCGCUCUACCUCCUCUGAGUUUAUCAACUUCAGAUAUCUUAUCUGUCAAUUGGUGUCUCAGUUACUUCCACCUUUUGGCCACUGUGAACAAUGCUGCAAUCAGCAUGAGGGUGCAGAUAUCUCUGUAAAAUCCUGCUUUCAAUUCUCUCACAUGGACACCCAGAAGUGGGAUUGCCAGAUCAAAGAUUUCAGGCUCCUGCCCUCGGAUGCACUCUUUAUAUUCCUACAUCCUUUCCACAGUGGGCAGUGACUCAUGAAGAACUGCUUGGCGACUUCUGCUAGACAGGCUGGCAGUGGAGGAGGGACAGCGGUUUGGCUGCCCACCCAGCCUGAGGAGCUUUGAUCUUCUGCAGGAGGAGCCCAUCACUGUCAUACUUCAGAGAGGCAGGAAGACCGGCAGGGAAACUGUAAGAGUGGUCCUUUACCCAACCCUAACAAACACACCCACACAUGCAUAUACGCACGUGCACGCAC
ensembl:lncRNA